rnacentral:rRNA from 1 species
UACGUAGGGUGCGAGCGUUAAUCGGAAUUACUGGGCGUAAAGCGUGCGCAGGCGGGCUUUUAAGCCAGCCGUGAAAUCCCCGGGCUUAACCUGGGGAUGGCGUUUGGGACUGGGAGUCUGGAGUGCGGCAGAGGAGACUGGAAUUCCUGGUGUAGCGGUGAAAUGCGCAGAUAUCAGGAGGAACACCGGUGGCGAAGGCGGGACUCUGGGCCGAUACUGACGCUGAGGAGCGAAAGCGUGGGGAGCAAACAGG